GAAAACAGCCAUGAUGAUGCUCUUGAUGAGUAUGAGAUGCUCACUAAGGUAACUGAUACAUCAGCUGCACAAGCAAGGAAGGGAAAAGACAUUCAGGGUAUUCAGUGGGAUAGAUUGAACAUAUCAAGAGAUAGUUACAGAGUUACAAGGCUUGAACAGUAUAAGAAUUAUGAGAAUAUUC